UUGAAAGGUGCUUGCAUCUUGAUUUAAUUUUGAACGAGUGGCGGACGGGUGAGUAACACGUGGGUAACCUGCCCUUAAGUGGGGGAUAACAUUUGGAAACAGAUGCUAAUACCGCAUAAAUCCAAGAACCGCAUGGUUCUUGGCUGAAAGAUGGCGUAAGCUAUCGCUUUUGGAUGGACCCGCGGCGUAUUAGCUAGUUGGUGAGGUAACGGCUCACCAAGGCAAUGAUACGUAGCCGAACUGAGAGGUUGAUCGGCCACAUUGGGACUGAGACACGGCCCAAACUCCUACGGGAGGCAGCAGUAGGGAAUCUUCCACAAUGGACGCAAGUCUGAUGGAGCAACGCCGCGUGAGUGAAGAAGGCUUUCGGGUCGUAAAACUCUGUUGUUGGAGAAGAAUGGUCGGCAGAGUAACUGUUGUCGGCGUGACGGUAUCCAACCAGAAAGCCACGGCUAACUACGUGCCAGCAGCCGCGGUAAUACGUAGGUGGCAAGCGUUAUCCGGAUUUAUUGGGCGUAAAGCGAGCGCAGGCGGUUUUUUAAGUCUGAUGUGAAAGCCCUCGGCUUAACCGAGGAAGUGCAUCGGAAACUGGGAAACUUGAGUGCAGAAGAGGACAGUGGAACUCCAUGUGUAGCGGUGAAAUGCGUAGAUAUAUGGAAGAACACCAGUGGCGAAGGCGGCUGUCUGGUCUGUAACUGACGCUGAGGCUCGAAAGCAUGGGUAGCGAACA
rnacentral:rRNA from 2 species